AACGCUAGCUACAGGCUUAACACAUGCAAGUCGAGGGGCAGCGGGAUUGAAGCUUGCUUCAAUUGCCGGCGACCGGCGCACGGGUGAGUAACGCGUAUCCAACCUUCCGUACACUCAGGGAUAGCCUUUCGAAAGAAAGAUUAAUACCUGAUGGUAUGAUGAGAUUGCAUGAUAGCAUCAUUAAAGAUUUAUCGGUGUACGAUGGGGAUGCGUUCCAUUAGGUAGUAGGCGGGGUAACGGCCCACCUAGCCAACGAUGGAUAGGGGUUCUGAGAGGAAGGUCCCCCACAUUGGAACUGAGACACGGUCCAAACUCCUACGGGAGGCAGCAGUGAGGAAUAUUGGUCAAUGGACGAGAGUCUGAACCAGCCAAGUAGCGUGAAGGAUGAAGGUCCUACGGAUUGUAAACUUCUUUUAUAAGGGAAUAAACCCUCCCACGUGUGGGAGCUUGUAUGUACCUUAUGAAUAAGCAUCGGCUAACUCCGUGCCAGCAGCCGCGGUAAUACGGAAGGAUGCGAGCGUUAUCCGGAUUUAUUGGGGUUUAAAGGGGAGCGCAAACGGGNUCGUUAAGUCAGCUGUGAAAGUUUGGGGCUCAACCUUAAAAUUGCAGUUGAAUACUGGCNUCCCUUGAAAUGCCGGUNGAAGUNUGCCGGAAAUUCNGGGGGGUAACCGGGGAANUGCUUANAAUUCACGAAGAACUCCGAUUG
rnacentral:rRNA from 1 species